rnacentral:piRNA from 1 species
CAGUGAGUUGAGUUCAUUGAUCGGAAGC